UGGGGAAUAUUGCACAAUGGGCGCAAGCCUGAUGCAGCCAUGCCGCGUGUGUGAAGAAGGCCUUCGGGUUGUAAAGCACUUUCAGCGAGGAGGAAGGUGGUGAGCUUAAUACGCUCAUCAAUUGACGUUACUCGCAGAAGAAGCACCGGCUAACUCCGUGCCAGCAGCCGCGGUAAUACGGAGGGUGCAAGCGUUAAUCGGAAUUACUGGGCGUAAAGCGCACGCAGGCGGUUUGUUAAGUCAGAUGUGAAAUCCCCGGGCUCAACCUGGGAACUGCAUUUGAAACUGGCAAGCUAGAGUCUCGUAGAGGGGGGUAGAAUUCCAGGUGUAGCGGUGAAAUGCGUAGAGAUCUGGAGGAAUACCGGUGGCGAAGGCGGCCCCCCUGGACGAAGACUGACGCUCAGGUGCGAAAAGGCGUGGGGGCAGCAAAACAGGAUUAGAUACCCUGGUAGUCCACGCUGUAAAACGAUGUCGAUUUUGGAGGUUGUGCCCCUUGAGGCGUGGCUUCCGGAGCUAACGCGUUAAAUCGACCGCCUGGGGAGUAC
rnacentral:rRNA from 1 species